UACGUAGGUGGCAAGCGUUGUCCGGAUUUACUGGGCGUAAAGAGCGCGCAGGCGGUCGAUCAAGUCGCGUGUGAAAGCCCCCAGCUCAACUGGGGAGGGUCACGCGAUACUGAUCGACUCGAAGGCAGGAGAGGGUAGUGGAAUUCCCGGUGUAGUGGUGAAAUGCGUAGAUAUCUGGAGGAACACCGGUGGCGAAGGCGGCAUCCUGGACCGAGAUUGACGCUGAGGCGCGAAAGCCAGGGGAGCAAACGGG
rnacentral:rRNA from 1 species